UACGUAGAGUGCAAGCGUUGUCCGGAAUUAUUGGGCGUAAAGGGUACGCAGGCGGAUAGUAAAGUCAAGCGUGAAAGGUAGUCGGCGUUAACCGACAGACUGCGUUUGAAACUAGAUUAUACUUGAGUGUAACAGAGGAGAGUGGAAUUCCUAGUGUAGUGGUGAAAUACGUAGAUAUUAGGAAGAACACCAGUGGGCGAAGGCGACUCUCUGGGUUAACACUGACGCUGAGGUACGAAAGACUGGGGGAGGCAAACGGGAUUAGAUACCCGGGUAGU
rnacentral:rRNA from 1 species